UGCAGUCGAACGCGAAAGCGGCCUUCGGGCCGCGAGUAGAGUGGCAAACGGGUGAGUAACGCGUGGGUGACCUACCUUCGAAUGGGGGAUAACCUUCCGAAAGGAAGGCUAACACCGCAUGACGUCCCGCCCUUGGACGGGCGGUGACCAAAGCCGGGGAUCUUCGGACCCGGUGCUUGUUGACGGACCCGCGUCCGAUUAGCUUGUUGGUAGGGUAGCGGCCUACCAAGGCUGCGAUCGGUAGCCGGCCUGAGAGGGCGGACGGCCACACUGGGACUGAGAUACGGCCCAGACUUCUACGGGAGGCAGCAGUAGGGAAUUGUUCGCAAUGGGCGAAAGCCUGACGACGCAACGCCGCGUGGAGGACGAAAACCUUCGGGUCGUAAACUCCUGUCGAGCGGGAAGAACCGUCCGCGGGUCAAUACCCCGCGGGCCUGACGGUACCGCUAAAGGAAGCCCCGGCUAACUCCGUGCCAGCAGCCGCGGUAAUACGGGGGGGCAAGCGUUGUUCGGAUUUACUGGGCGUAAAGGGCUCGUAGGCUGCCGUUCAAGUCGGUUGUGAAAUCCCCAGGCUCAACUUGGGAACUGCAGCCGAAACUGGGCGGCUUGAAGCCGGGAGAGGGAUGCGGAAUUCCAGGUGUAGCGGUGAAAUGCGUAGAUAUCUGGAGGAACACCCGUGGCGAAGGCGGCAUCCUGGCCCGGUCUUGACGCUGAGGAGCGAAAGCUAGGGUAGCAAACGGGAUUAGAUACCCCGGUAGUCCUAGCCCUAAACGAUGAAUGC
rnacentral:rRNA from 1 species